rnacentral:rRNA from 1 species
CCUACGGGAGGCAGCAGUGGGGGAUAUUGCACAAUGGGGGAAACCCUGAUCCAGCCACGCCGCGUGUGGGAAGAAGGUUUUCGGGUUUUAAACCAUUGUUUUUGGUGAAGUUAAUGUCGGUAACACAGGAGAAUGCUCCGUCUAACUACGUGCCAGCAGCCUCGGUAAUACGUAGGGAGCAAGUGUUGUCCGGAUUUACUGGGUGUAAAGGGUGCGUAGGCGGUUUUGCAAGUCAGAGGUGAAAACCACAGGCUCAACCUGUGGACUGCGUUUGCAACUGUGGGGCUUGAGUGAAGUAGAGGUAGGCGGAAUGCCCGGUGUAGCGGUGAAAUGCGUAGAGAUCGGGAGGAACACCAGUGGCGAAGGCAGCCUACUGGGCUUUAACUGACGCUGAGGCACGAAAGCGUGGGUAGCAAACAGGAUUAGAUACCCUUGUAGUC